rnacentral:sRNA from 1 species
GGAGCAGACACGGGUGGCCAGACUCUAA